rnacentral:rRNA from 1 species
UACGAAGGGUGCAAGCGUUAAUCGGAAUUACUGGGCGUAAAGGGUGCGUAGGCGGUUCUUUAAGUCUGUCGUGAAAUCCCCGGGCUCAACCUGGGAAUGGCGAUGGAUACUGGACAGCUAGAGUGUGGCAGAGGAUGGUGGAAUUCCCGGUGUAGCGGUGAAAUGCGUAGAGAUCGGGAGGAACAUCAGUGGCGAAGGCGGCCAUCUGGGACAACACUGACGCUGAAGCACGAAAGCGUGGGGAGCAAACAGG